rnacentral:tRNA from 1 species
UCCUUCAUGGUCCAGUGGUUAGGGUUCUGGACUUCCACUGCCAGGGGCUCAGGUUCAAUCCUUGGUCAGGGAA